CAGUAGCCGCGGUAAUACGAAGGGUGCAAGCGUUAAUCGGAAUUACUGGGCGUAAAGCGUGCGUAGGCGGUUUGUUAAGUCUGUUGUGAAAUCCCCGGGCUCAACCUGGGAAUGGCAAUGGAUACUGGCAAGCUAGAGUGUGUCAGAGGAUGGUGGAAUUCCCGGUGUAGCGGUGAAAUGCGUAGAGAUCGGGAGGAACAUCAGUGGCGAAGGCGGCCAUCUGGGACAACACUGACGCUGAGGCACGAAAGCGUGGGGAGCAAACAGGAUUAGAUACCCCGGUAGUCCCUGUCUCUUAUAC
rnacentral:rRNA from 1 species